AGCAGCCGCGGUAAUUCCAGCUCCAAUAGCGUAUAUUAAAGUUGCUGCAGUUAAAAAGCUCGUAGUUGAAUUUCGGGACCAAUAUGUCGGUCGUGCCUCGGUACGUACUGGCAUCGUUGGUUUCUCCCUUCUGACGAACCAUGAUGUCAUUUAUUUGGUGUCGUGGGGAAUCAGGACUGUUACUUUGAAAAAAUUAGAGUGUUUAAAGCAGGCUCACGCUUGAAUACAUUAGCAUGGAAUAAUGAAAUAGGACGUUUGAUUCUAUUUUGUUGGUUUCUAGGAUCGACGUAAUGAUUAAUAGGGAUAGUUGGGGGCAUUAGUAUUCAAUUGUCAGAGGUGAAAUUCUUGGAUUUAUUGAAGACUAACUACUGCGAAAGCAUUUGCCAAGAAUGUUUUCAUCAAUCAAGAACGAAAGUCUGAGGUUCGAAGGCGAUCAGAUACCGCCCUAGUUCAGACCGUAAACGAUGCCACUAGCGAUCCGAGGGCGUUAAUUAUGACUCUCGG
rnacentral:rRNA from 1 species